rnacentral:lncRNA from 1 species
GCCUGGGCGACAGAGCGAGACUCUGUCUCAAAAGAAAAAAAAUGUAAGCAAAUGCUCACUUUACUGGUAACUGAAGCUAGAGUAAAAUAUUUACAAAUGUUUAUAUGUAUUAUUGUGUGCAUGAGAAGGAGAAAGAGAGAGAGAGUGAGUUUGGGUGGGUGAGUAAAGAUUGAUGAGAAUACUGAAGUAUAUGAGUCAUUAGACAGGUGAGAAGACCCAGUGUCAAGCAGAAUUGUAUCCAGCCGCUAUGAGGAUUACUAGGAAAAACUGAGAAACUGUUACUUGUAAUCAAGGAUGGCUGCAUAAGUUGCAGACGCCGGUGUCAAGUGAAAAUACAUGGCCUAUUUUUUUUUAAAGCAGGAAAAAUUUGUGGUUAUAGUACACAAAACUUUUGAUUUGUUCCCGCAGUCCUGCUCUCAAAUUGAUUUUUUAAAUUUGUUUUAAUAUUACUCUAAAGAAGAAAAAAUUAAAAUGUCAAUCAUUAGCUUAAAUUUUACCUUUUGUCCUUGUGUUGUACAACGCCAAUUCUAAAGGCAAAUAGCAUGUUUAAUUCAUGUGAUAUCACGACCAGGACAAUUUCUAUUUCAUGGCUUGUCCCUGGAGGGUGUGUCAAGCUGGCUACAGAAACAAAUAUGAGCUGAAUCUGGGAAGAUUGGAAGAAGGCACCUUGAGCAUGGGGAAUCUCACUGGGAAUAUAUGUUUUCUCAAAUGCAUGUGAAGAGAGGACUGAGCCUACACAAUAAUCUGAAAGGUCUUUGUGAAGCAUAUAUAGAGUCUCAUUAUGUUGCCCCGGCUGGACUCAAACUCCUGGACUCAAGAGAUUUUCCUGCCUCAGACUCUCAAAUAGCUGGAACUGCAGGCAUAUAUCAUCACACCUGUCUCAGAUGACAGUUUUAAUCAAAUGGCUUUCCUAGUUUCUUGAGUUGUGAACUUCUUUGACUCUAUUAAAUUUUAUAAAUAAACCCAAUAUGCAAAAGAUAAAAACAC